UCCUCAGUGAUUACGUACAGAGCGAGUCCCUGCGGGUUAGGGGCCCCCUCUGGAGCCAUCCUGAUGGCUUUGGGGGCCUUGCUUCCAUUUUCCAUUAUUAUGUGGACUACCGGAGCGACAGCGCAGUCCAAGACCUUGCAGGAUGUCUCGCCGCAAGCAAGCGAAACCGAGAUCCCUCAAAGACCCCAGCUGUAAACUUGAAGACAAGACUGAAGAUGGAGAGGCGCUAGGCUGUAAGAAGAGGCCGGAGGACGGAGAGGAGCUGGAAGACGAGGCCGUGCACAGCUGUGACAGCUGCCUCCAGGUGUUCGAGUCACUGAGCGACAUUACCGAACACAAGAUUAAUCAAUGUCAGUUGACAGAUGGAGUGGAUGUUGAAGAUGAUCCCACCUGCUCUUGGCCGGCUUCCUCACCUUCUAGCAAGGACCAGACUUCCCCUAGCCAUGGAGAAGGAUGCGAUUUUGGCGAGGAAGAAGGUGGCCCUGGACUCCCAUACCCAUGCCAAUUCUGUGACAAGUCCUUUAGCCGCCUCAGCUACCUAAAGCACCAUGAGCAGAGUCACAGUGACAAACUGCCUUUCAAAUGCACCUAUUGCAGUAGGCUGUUCAAACACAAGCGGAGCCGAGACCGCCAUAUCAAACUCCACACAGGGGACAAGAAGUACCACUGCAGUGAAUGUGACGCCGCAUUCUCCAGAAGUGAUCACUUGAAGAUCCACUUAAAGACUCACACGUCCAACAAGCCAUAUAAAUGUGCCAUUUGUCGCCGUGGGUUCCUGUCCUCUAGUUCCUUGCACGGACACAUGCAGGUCCACGAGAGAAACAAGGAUGGGUCCCAGUCUGGCUCCAGGAUGGAGGACUGGAAGAUGAAGGACACUCAGAAGUGCAGUCAGUGUGAGGAAGGCUUUGACUUCCCGGAAGACCUCCAGAAGCACAUCGCGGAGUGCCACCCCGAGUGCUCCCCAAACGAGGACAGAGCGGCCCUCCAGUGUAUCUACUGCCACGAGCUCUUUGUGGAGGAGACGUCCCUCAUGAACCACAUGGAGCAGGUGCAUGGCGGGGAGAAGAAGAACUCUUGCAGCAUCUGCUCGGAGAGCUUCCACACCGUCGAGGAACUGUACAGCCAUGUGGACAGCCACCAGCAAGCCGAGUCGUGCAACCACAGCAACAGCCCCUCUCUGGUCACAGUGGGCUACACGUCCGUGUCCAGCACGACUCCGGAUUCCAACCUCUCCGUGGACAGCUCGACCAUGGUGGAAGCUGCCCCCCCAAUCCCAAAGAGCCGGGGCAGGAAGCGGGCUGCUCAGCAAACCCCUGACCUGACCGUCCCCUCGAGUAAACAGGCCAAAGUGACCUACAGCUGUAUUUACUGCAACAAGCAGUUGUUCUCGAGUCUGGCGGUUCUGCAGAUUCACCUGAAAACGAUGCAUUUGGACAAGCCAGAACAGGCCCACAUUUGUCAGUAUUGCUUGGAGGUAUUGCCCUCACUCUAUAACCUGAAUGAACAUCUGAAGCAAGUGCAUGAAGCUCAGGAUCCAGGUCUGAUUGUUUCUGCCAUGCCUGCCAUAGUCUACCAGUGCAAUUUCUGCUCUGAAGUUGUCAAUGACCUCAACACCCUUCAGGAACACAUCCGAUGUUCUCAUGGAUUUGCGAACCCUGCCGCUAAGGAUAGCAAUGCGUUCUUUUGUCCCCAUUGCUACAUGGGGUUUCUCACUGACUCUUCCCUGGAAGAGCAUAUAAGACAGGUCCAUUGUGACCUCAGUGGCUCCCGAUUUGGGUCUCCGGUGCUUGGGACUCCGAAGGAACCGGUAGUAGAAGUCUAUUCUUGUUCUUAUUGUACAAAUUCGCCAAUAUUCAACAGUGUUCUUAAGCUGAACAAGCAUAUCAAAGAGAAUCAUAAAAACAUUCCCUUGGCCCUGAAUUAUAUUCACAAUGGGAAGAAAUCCAGGGCCUUGAGCCCCUUAUCUCCCGUGGCCAUAGAGCAGACAUCUCUUAAGAUGAUGCAGGCGGUGGGUGGGGCACCUGCGCGUCCAGCUGGAGAAUAUAUCUGUAAUCAGUGUGGUGCUAAGUACACUUCCCUGGACAGCUUUCAGACUCACCUAAAAACUCAUCUCGACACUGUGCUCCCCAAGCUGACCUGCCCUCAGUGCAACAAGGAAUUCCCCAACCAAGAAUCCUUGCUGAAGCAUGUUACCAUUCAUUUCAUGAUCACCUCAACCUACUACAUCUGCGAGAGUUGUGAUAAGCAGUUCACGUCAGUGGACGACCUUCAGAAACACCUGCUGGACAUGCACACCUUUGUCUUCUUCCGGUGCACACUCUGCCAAGAGGUUUUUGACUCGAAAGUUUCCAUUCAACUCCACCUGGCUGUGAAACACAGUAACGAGAAGAAAGUCUACAGGUGCACGUCUUGCAACUGGGACUUCCGCAACGAGACUGACUUGCAGCUCCACGUGAAGCACAACCACCUGGAAAAUCAAGGCAAAGUGCACAAGUGCAUUUUCUGCGGCGAGUCUUUUGGCACCGAGGUGGAGCUCCAGUGCCACAUCACCACUCACAGUAAGAAGUACAAUUGCAAAUUCUGCAGCAAAGCCUUCCACGCAAUCAUUCUGCUGGAGAAACACUUGCGGGAAAAGCACUGUGUGUUUGAAACCAAGACUCCCAACUGUGGCACGAACGGGGCUUCUGAGCAAGUGCAGAAGGAGGAGGUGGAGCUGCAGACCUUGCUGACCAACAGCCAGGAGUCCCACAACAGUCAUGACGGGAGCGAAGAAGAUGUGGACACCUCGGAGCCGAUGUACGGGUGUGACAUCUGUGGGGCAGCCUACACCAUGGAGACCCUGCUGCAGAACCACCAGCUCCGAGACCACAACAUCAGACCCGGGGAGAGCGCCAUCGUGAAGAAGAAAGCCGAGCUCAUUAAAGGGAAUUACAAGUGCAACGUGUGCUCUCGAACCUUCUUCUCUGAAAACGGCCUCCGCGAGCAUAUGCAGACCCACCUAGGCCCUGUCAAACACUACAUGUGCCCCAUUUGUGGAGAGCGGUUUCCCUCCCUUUUAACUCUUACCGAACACAAAGUCACUCAUAGUAAGAGCCUUGAUACCGGGAACUGCCGGAUUUGCAAGAUGCCUCUCCAGAGCGAAGAGGAGUUUUUAGAGCAUUGCCAAAUGCACCCGGACUUGCGGAAUUCCCUGACAGGAUUCCGCUGCGUGGUCUGCAUGCAGACCGUGACCUCCACCUUAGAACUCAAAAUCCACGGGACAUUCCACAUGCAAAAGACAGGGAAUGGGUCCGCCGUCCAGACCACAGGGCGUGGCCCGCAUGUCCAAAAACUGUACAAGUGUGCGUCUUGCCUCAAAGAGUUUCGUUCCAAGCAGGAUCUGGUGAAACUUGACAUCAAUGGCCUGCCAUACGGUCUGUGCGCCGGCUGUGUGAAUCUUAGUAAGAGCGGCAGCCCAGGCAUCACCAUCCCUCCCGGCACGAAUAGGCCGGGCUUGGGCCAGAAUGAGAAUCUCAGUGCCAUCGAGGGUAAAGGCAAGGCGGGGGGACUGAAGACUCGCUGUUCUAGCUGCAACGUCAAGUUUGAGUCUGAAAGCGAACUCCAGAACCACAUCCAAACGGUCCAUCGAGAGCUCAUGACGGAUAGUAACAGCACGCAGCUGAAAACUCCACAAGUGUCGCCAAUGCCCAGAAUCAGUCCCUCCCAGUCGGAUGAGAAGAAGACCUAUCAGUGCAUCAAGUGUCAGAUGGUUUUCUACAAUGAAUGGGAUAUUCAGGUUCAUGUUGCAAAUCACAUGAUUGAUGAAGGACUGAACCACGAAUGCAAACUCUGCAGCCAGACCUUCGACUCCCCUGCCAAACUCCAGUGCCAUCUGAUCGAGCACAGCUUCGAAGGGAUGGGAGGUACCUUCAAGUGCCCCGUCUGCUUCACAGUGUUUGUUCAAGCAAACAAGUUGCAGCAGCAUAUUUUCUCUGCCCAUGGACAAGAAGACAAGAUCUAUGACUGCACACAAUGUCCGCAGAAGUUUUUCUUCCAAACAGAGCUGCAGAGAUAAAAGACCAAAGGAUUCUGCUAGAACAGUCCGGCGCUGUAUUUCAGACAAGUUCCGCCUCACAAGCGCAAAGCCACAACAAUACAUUCGUUCUGAUGAUGGGACCAGAUUGGAUUUGUAGCAAGAUGCCUAUGAAAACCAUACGAUGACCCAACACAGCAGUUAGUGCAAGUACGGUCUCUCAAGGAGAAUGACUUUUGUGGCACAAAAAGGGAACAUGUUUUACUCUUUGCACGAAACUUUCAUUGUUAAUGUAUAAUAUUCAGAAACAUUGUAUUGUACCAUAAAACUUGUAUUAUCAAAACUGUUGGAUGUUCAUGUGUUUGAACUUUUGAGCACCGGAUAGACUCCUUGUAUAUAAAGUGUUGCACAUGUAUUAUGUCGUCUGAUACUAAAAUGGUCUUAUAAAGACAAGUGGACUUGGGCCCUAUUCAGGCAAGAUAAAAAAAAAAAAAAUGUGAGCAAAAUGGCUUAAGAGAAAGUAUUUUCGAGGAAGACAGAUUAAAACAGCCGUUACAAAUGAGACUAUGUUUGGACUUCCUUUUAUUUACCCUUAAGCCUAGAAUUUCUCUUUUGGUAUAUCAACGGUUAAAUCCAAGACUAUUUUUUAUUGCCGAAGAUUCUCGCAGACCACGAAGAGAUGUCCUCACAGAACAGCACCCCACAGCUGGAUAAGGCCCGUAUAUAUAUUUGUAAGCCUUGCAAUGUGACAGGUAGCUUCACUAUAUAUGCAAUAGCUGUAAUGUAGACUGUCAAAGAUUUUUUUUUCCUGGAUACAUUUGAAGCUUUGAGUGUUCAAGGUUUUCCUUAAUGAUUUCACACAGCCAAAUUCUUGAAUCAGUUGAACUAACCUGUAUGUUACUGUUAUUAAUGUUUACUCUGCGGUCUGAACCUGGAGAUUACUGGAAUUGUUUUCCAAGAGGAAAUAAAUUCAGUUUACCAUUAGG